rnacentral:rRNA from 1 species
AACGAACGCUGGCGGCAUGCCUAACACAUGCAAGUCGAACGAGACCUUCGGGUCUAGUGGCGCACGGGUGCGUAACGCGUGGGAACCUGCCCUUAGGUUCGGAAUAACUCCCCGAAAGGGGUGCUAAUACCGGAUAAUGUCUUCGGACCAAAGAUUUAUCGCCUUUGGAUGGGCCCGCGUUGGAUUAGCUAGUUGGUAGGGAAAAAGCCUACCAAGGCGACGAUCCAUAGCUGGUCUGAGAGGAUGAUCAGCCACACUGGGACUGAGAUACGGCCCAGACUCCUACGGGAGGCAGCAGUGGGGAAUAUUGGACAAUGGGCGAAAGCCUGAACCAGCAAUGCCGCGUGAGUGAUGAAGGCCUUAGGGUUGUAAAGCUCUUUUACCCGGGAUGAUAAUGACAGUACCGGGAGAAUAAGCUCCGGCUAACUCCGUG